rnacentral:rRNA from 1 species
AGGGUUUAUGGUGGAUGCCUAGGCGUCCAGAGCUGAUGAAGGACGUGGUUAAGCUGCGAAAAGCUUCGGUGAGUCGCUAAACAGACUUUGACCCGGAGAUGUCCGAAUCCGGAAACGGACUGGGGUAACCCCCAGUAUCCCGCAAGGGAGAGCAACGUGGGGAACUGAAACAUCUAAGUACCCACAGGAAAGGAAAGAAACCUCGAUCCCCCAAGUAGCGGCGAGCGAACGGGGGCCAGUCUAAACCAGUGUAGUGCCAAGGUGACGGCCGUUGCUGCAUUGGUGUCGUGGGACGUACGGAUGUGUCCGUUGACGCAUCAAGGAGUUACAAAUCUUCAAUCUAGUCGAAUGGUAUGGAAAGGCCAGCCGCAGAGGGUGACAGCCCCUUAGGCGAAAGAUUCGGAGACUCCUGUACCCAUCCCAAGUAGCGCCAGACACGUGAAACCUGGUGUGAAUCCGCGGGGACCACCCCGUAAGACUAAGUACUCCUGGACGACCGAUAGCGUAAUAGUAGCGCGAGCGAAAGGUGAAAAGUACCCCUGUUAGGGGAGUGAAAUAGUACCUGAAACCAUAUACCUACAAGCUGUCGAAGGCCUAUGGCCCCUCGGGGCAACGGCUGACGGCGUGCCUUUUGCAUAAUGAUCCGGCGAGUUACGCUGUAUGGCGAGGUUAAGGGUCUAAGGCCCGGAGCCGAAGGGAAACCGAGUGUGAAUAGCGCGAUUUGAGUCAUGCGGCGUAGACCCGAAAGCGAGUGAUCUAUCCAUGGGCAGGCUGAAGCGGAUGUAACAGUCCGUGGAGGGCCGAACGGGUAUAGGUUGAAAACUGUUCCGAUGACCUGUGGAUAGGAGUGAAAGGCUAAUCAAACUCGCAGAUAGCUGGUUCUCCCCGAAAUAGCUUUCGGGCUAGCGUCAGGUAAUUAGCGUGCGGGGGUAGAGACACUGAUUGGGAUAGGGGCCCUUCGGGGUACCCUACUCAGCCAAACUCCGAAUACCGCACGUGGUAUCCUGGCAGUCAGACUAUGGGCGAUAAGGUCCGUGGUCGAGAGGGAAACAGCCCAGACCGCCAGCUAAGGUCCCUAAUGUGUGCUAAGUGCAGAGAAGGAACUGAAGUCUCGAAGACAGCCAGGAUGUUGGCUUAGAAGCAGCCAUCAUUUAAAGAGUGCGUAACAGCUCACUGGUCGAGAGGCUUUGGGCCGAAAAUGAACGGGGCUCAAGUGCACAACCGAAGCUGCGGAUUGCAAGGAGUCGUUGGCUCCUUGCAGUGGUAGGGGAGCGUUCUGACUGGGUGAAGGGCUACGGUAACGAGGCCUGGACGGUUCAGAAGUGAUUAUGCCGGAAUGAGUAACGAUAAAGCAGGUGAGAAUCCUGCUCGCCGAAAACCUAAGGUUUCCUGGGCACGGUAAAUCCGCCCAGGGUUAGUCGGAUCCUAAGGCGAGGCCGAAAGGCGUAGUCGAUGGACAACAGGUUAAUAUUCCUGUACUACCAAAUGCGCGUUAUACCGAUGGGGUGACGCGGGAGGAAACGCAGUCGCACUGACAGAAUAGUGCGUGUAAGCUCGAGGGCGGCAUGUUGGUAAAUCCGCAUGCGUAAACCCGGAAGUGAUGCCGAGUGCUUUGCACGAAGCUGCUGGACUGACCGCCGAGAAAAUCCUCUAGGAAGUUCAUAUGGUAUCCGUACCAAAACUGACACAGGUAGGUGGGAUGAGAAUUCUAAGGCGCUCGAGAGAACCAUUGUUAAGGAACUCGGCAAAUUAGCUCCGUAACUUCGGGAUAAGGAGCGCCCCUCAGUGUGUAGGACUUUACGUCUGAAGCACUAGGGGGCCGCAGUGAAAAGGUGUUGACGACUGUUUACUAAAAACACAGGUCUGUGCUAACUCGUCUAAGAGGCUGUAUACAGACUGACGCCUGCCCAAUGCCGGUAGGUUAAGGGGAGCGGUUAGCGUAAGCGAAGCUGCGAACUGAAGCCCCGGUGAAUGGCGGCCGUAACUAUGACGGUCCUAAGGUAGCGAAGUUCCUUGUCGGGUAAGUUCCGACCCGCACGAAAGGCGUAACGAUUGACACACUGUCUCAACAAUGGACUCGGUGAAAUUGUAGUCGUGGUGAAGAUGCCACGUUCCCGCACCAGGACGGAAAGACCCCGUGAACCUUUACUAUAGCCUGAUAUUGGUAUUUGACAUGGCGUGCGUAGGAUAGGUGGGAGGCGUUGAUUCUGGGCUUUCGGGCCUAGUGGAGCCGUUGGUGAAAUACCACUCUCGUCAUGUUAGGUCUCUAACGCGAUACCGUGAAUCCGGGUCGUGGACAGUUUCAGGUGGGUAGUUUGGCUGGGGCGGUCUCCUCCUAAAAGGUAACGGAGGAGCUCGAUGUUACACUCAGUGCGGUUAGCAAUCGCACGUAGAGCGCAAGGGUAUAAGUGUGACUAACUGCAAGAGACAUAUCUCGCGCAGAUACGAAAGUAGGACCUAGUGAUCCGGUGGAUUCCGAGUGGAAGGGCCAUCGCUUACCAGAUAAAAGGUACUCCGGGGAUAACAGGCUGAUCUCCCCCAAGAGUUCAUAUCGACGGGGAGGUUUGGCACCUCGAUGUCGGCUCGUCGCAUCCUGGGGCUGAAGAAGGUCCCAAGGGUUUGGCUGUUCGCCAAUUAAAGCGGUACGUGAGCUGGGUUUAGACCGUCGUGAGACAGGUCGGUCCCUAUCCGGUGUGGGUGUAGGAUGAUUGCAGAGGUUUUCCCCUAGUACGAGAGGAUUGGGGAGGACGACCCUCUGGUGUACCAGUUAUCACGCUAGUGGUAUCGCUGGGUAGCUACGGUCGGAACGGAUAAGCGCUGAAUGCAUCUAAGCGCGAAGCCUUCUCUAAGACGAGUCAUCCCUAUCAGUCCCCUGGAAGACUACCAGGUUGAUAGGCUGCAAGUGUAAGCACAGCAAUGUGUUCAGCUGAGCAGUACUAAUCGGACGAUUGACUUACCC